rnacentral:rRNA from 1 species
UGGGGAAUUUUGGACAAUGGGCGAAAGCCUGAUCCAGCAAUGCCGCGUGUGUGAAGAAGGCCUUCGGGUUGUAAAGCACUUUUGUCCGGAAAGAAAUCCUUGGCUCUAAUACAGUCGGGGGAUGACGGUACCGGAAGAAUAAGCACCGGCUAACUACGUGCCAGCAGCCGCGGUAAUACGUAGGGUGCAAGCGUUAAUCGGAAUUACUGGGCGUAAAGCGUGCGCAGGCGGUUUGCUAAGACCGAUGUGAAAUCCCCGGGCUCAACCUGGGAACUGCAGUUGGUGACUGGCAGGCUAGAGUAUGGCAGAGGGGGGUAGAAUUCCACGUGUAGCAGUGAAAUGCGUAGAGAUGUGGAGGAAUACCGAUGGCGAAGGCAGCCCCCUGGGCCAAUACUGACGCUCAUGCACGAAAGCGUGGGGAGCAAACAGGAUUAGAUACCCUGGUAGUCCACGCCCUAAAAGCGAUGUCAACUAGUUGUUGGGGAUUCAUUCCUUAGUAACGUAGCUAACGCGUGAAGUUGACCGCCUGGGGAGUACGGUCGCAAGAUUAAAACUUCAAAGGAAUUGACGGGGUCAUAGCUGUUUCC